AUGACCCCUCCAGAGCUCUGCAUCGUCCGUCGUACGCCAGCCAUGGGCGACCUCGAGCGCCGUCUGCAACUCAGCAUGGUGGCCUAUGCCGCGGGUGCCAGGCAUGACUUGUCGCCGGAGUUCGUGCUGGGGGCGCUGGAGACCGUGCUGGAGAUCAGGCCCGAGCGGGUCCCCAUCCACCACUACCGCCCCGAGGACUACUUGGUGGUGUUACAGAGGCCAGAAGACAGGAAUCGGGUGGCGGGUCGUCCGGCCAUAGAAUUCAAUGGAGUCCGCAUCUUCUUCACGCAGUGGAAUCGUCAAGCGCAGGCAGUGCACACCAGGUUCAACUUCAAGGUUUCGCUGGUCCUAGAAGGACUACCCCCACAUGCUUGGGAUCGGGAGGUGAUCGAGGAUCUGCUUGGCUCGGCCUGCCUUGUUGACAUGGUAGCGCCGGAAACCAGCUCGCGCCGUGAUCUGUCUGCCUUCAAGCUCACGAUUUGGCCGGACCCGGAGGCCAUCCCGACCCUGCGCUGGCUGGCGAUCCCCGAGCCGGGACUGGUGGCGCCGCUGGCAGCACCUUCGCUGCUUCAAUACAAGGUUCUGAUCCAUCUGGAUUCCGUGUCUGAGUUUGAGGAGAGAGACGAGCCGUUCUUCUUUAGGGCGUCAUCGGACAGUGGGCAUUGUGGCAUCCUAGACUCGGAGCACGAGUUUGACGGCAAUGGGGAUGGUGGCGGCCCCAGCUUGCCGCCGGCAAGGAGGCAGUGGCAAUUCGGCGUGCGGGAUAAUCGGGGACCUAGAGAUGGACACCAGAGGUGA
rnacentral:rRNA from 1 species